CCUCAGAAGUGUCUGUUGAAAUUAACGCAUCCUGAAAUCCCAAAAAGGUUCCUUCUGCAUAGAAUAGAGUCAAGCUGGAAGAAUACUAUAUUUUACCAGAAAAGAGAUCAGGUUGCUAAAAGUGUUUUUUCUCUUGCGGUCCAAGUCAUCCAAUGGAUGGGCAUCUUCCCUCCUCCCAAAUUCCUAAGUAAUUCCCAGUGAUCACCUCUCUCCAGAAACCCACCAGUUCUGAGAGCUUUCGCUUUCUUGUCCUGUGGGGUACGUAUUAUCAGGGAGAAAGAGCAGUAUGGGGGGGGGGGGGAAACUAACCGAGAACUGAAAUCGCUGCCCUUUUCGCUCUGUCUUCUCAGGCGCCGCUCCAAGUUGGGUGCAGUGGGCGAGAGGGAAACCUGUUGCCUAGAAAGUGCUCCUCCGGCUGCGCUCUUGGGACCUUGGCACUUCUGGGCUCGUCAGGCCCCCUGCCGGACCAGUGACUGGCUCCACGCGAGGUGCCACAGCUUCCCGCGCUACACUGUCCUGAGGGUCACUGGAGAGGACUAGGUGGAGCGCGCUUGCUAGAAUGGGAAGGAAGGUGGCGUCUCUACAGCCCCACUAAUGACAAGAAGCCGAUCCCGGGCUAGUUUCUCCUCCACUUCCUUCCUAUCUUUUUUCUUUCUUUCUUUUUUUUGGCGGGGGGCUUCCCACUCACCCCCCAGAUCAGCAACUUAGCCUCCAGUUGAAGAGGAGGAAAAGAGAAGGACCCCACAAUGAUCCUAUUCCCACUGAGUCCUCUGCAAAUAGGUGAGAGGAGAGAGGAUGGCAGACUAGACGGUCGGGAGGAGGACCGAGUGUGACGAGGGCGGUGGAGGAGGCGUGUUUCUGUGGGUAUCUGAGCGAUGGUUUCCUUUCAGCACGCCCCGGCUCCUCUAGGGGUUGGUGGAGGCACGGUGGACUUUCCCAGGCCUCGUGGAAUCUCCGCGGCGCGGAGUGAGUGUUGGGCGUCCAGCUCAUUUCCCAGCAGCCAAAAAACCCACAGAGGUGCGAGUAGCCGCCGAGUGGAUGGUGACAGCAAAGAGCCAGCCCCUAGCAGGGACCUGCAGAGGGCACGGUAG
rnacentral:lncRNA from 1 species